rnacentral:rRNA from 1 species
UGACUAGCGAAUGACCCUUAAGCUUGAUUCUUGUCAAAUAGCGCCGUAAGGUGAGUAACACGUGGGUAACCUGCCUGUAAGACUGGGAUAACUCCGGGAAACCGGGGCUAUACGGGAUAACUUUUUUCAUCGCAUGAAGGAGAAUUGAAAGGUGGCACUAGCUACCACUUACAGAUGGACCCGCGGCGCAUUAGCUAGUUGGUGAGGUAACGCGCAGGCGGUGGAGUAAGUCAGACGUGAAAGGGUUCGGCUCAAUCGAGCCAUUGCGUUUGAUACUACUUCACUUGAGUCUAGAAGAGGAAAGUGGAAUGUAUGGUGUAGUGGUGGAAUGCUUAGAUAUCAUAUAGAACGGCUCACCAAAGGCGACGAUGCGUAGCCGACUUUAGAGGGUGAUCGGCCACACUGGGACUGAGACACGGCCCAGACUCCUACGGGAGUCAGCAGUACUAAAUCUUGAGCAAUGGACGAUUGUCUGACGGAGCACCGCCGCGUGAGUUAUGAAGGUUUCCGGAUCGUAAAACUCCGUUGUUAGAGAAGAACAAGUAUCGUUCGAAUAGGGCGGUAACUUGACGGUACUUAACCAGAAAGCCACGGCUAACUACGUGUGAGCAGACGCGGUAGAACC